GACGAACGCUGGCGGCGUGCUUAACACAUGCAAGUCGAACGGAAAGGCCCUGCUUUUGUGGGUUGCUCGAGUGGCGAACGGGUGAGUAACACGUGAGUAACCUGCCCUUGACUUUGGGAUAACUUCAGGAAACUGGGGCUAAUACCGGAUAGGAUCUCCUGCUGCAUGGUGGUGGUUGGAAAGUUUCGGCGGUUGGGGAUGGACUCGCGGCUUAUCAGCUUGUUGGGGGGGUAGUGGCUUACCAAGGCUUUGACGGGUAGCCGGCCUGAGAGGGUGACCGGCCACAUUGGGACUGAGAUACGGCCCAGACUCCUACGGGAGGCAGCAGUGGGGAAUAUUGCACAAUGGGCGGACGCCUGAUGCAGCAACGCCGCGUGCGGGAUGACGGCCUUCGGGGUGUAAACCGCUUUCGCAUGUGACGAAGCGUGAGUGACGGUAAUGGGUAAAGAAGCACCGGCUAACUACGUG
rnacentral:rRNA from 1 species